rnacentral:rRNA from 1 species
UUAGACAGCUAGCUCUCUGCAACUCUCACAUGGUCGCCCACUGAAGCUAAGCAGGGCUGCGCCCGGUCAGUACCUGGAUGGGAGACCACAUGGGAAAGCUAGGUUGUUGCCGGAA